rnacentral:rRNA from 1 species
GAUGAACGCUGGCGGCGUGCCUAAUACAUGCAAGUCGAGCGAACAGAUAAGGAGCUUGCUCCUUUGACGUUAGCGGCGGACGGGUGAGUAACACGUGGGUAACCUACCUAUAAGACUGGGAUAACUUCGGGAAACCGGAGCUAAUACCGGAUAAUAUUUCGAACCGCAUGGUUCGAUAGUGAAAGAUGGUUUUGCUAUCACUUAUAGAUGGACCCGCGCCGUAUUAGCUAGUUGGUAAGGUAACGGCUUACCAAGGCGACGAUACGUAGCCGACCUGAGAGGGUGAGCGGCCACACUGGAACUGAGACACGGUCCAGACUCCUACGGGAGGCAGCAGUAGGGAAUCUUCCGCAAUGGGCGAAAGCCUGACGGAGCAACGCCGCGUGAGUGAUGAAGGUCUUCGGAUCGUAAAACUCUGUUAUUAGGGAAGAACAUACGUGUAAGUAACUGUGCACGUCUUGACGGUACCUAAUCAGAAAGCCACGGCUAACUACGUG